ACAACCCAGAUGGGAGUCUUGCGACCUCGGCUCGCUCCAAGAAGCCGAUUUCCAUCGCUGGGUCGGCUCCGCCGCCGGUGAUUGAUUUCUCCUCUGGGAAGCGGCCCAGAGUGAAUGAGCCUAAGGAAAAGUCGACUUAUGGUGAGCUCGCUGACGGUUAAUUCCGAUUGUUAUGCUUGUUUUGUGAAUGUAAUUCGCGAUCUUUGGCUGUAACAUAGAUAUGGGGUUCGGCUGAUGUUUUGAUCUGUUGAUGAAAUAAUCAUGAAUA
rnacentral:lncRNA from 1 species